AUGAAAAUAAGUGGAUGGAAAGAAAAUUUGUUAUCCGCCGGAGGAAAGGAAAUAUUGCUCAAAUCUAUUGUACAAGCUAUCCCAGCUUAUGCCAUGUCCGUCUUUAAAAUUCCAAAAAAAAAUUGUAAAGGAAUUAUCGACGCGAUGUCACAAUUUUUGUGGGGUGACGAGGACAACAAGAAGAGAAUGCAUUGGAUGGCAUGGUGGAAGAUAUGUGUACCAAAAAAAUCAAGGAGGUAUGGGUUUUAG
rnacentral:rRNA from 1 species